rnacentral:lncRNA from 1 species
UGGCGGAGGGUGCGAUGGAGGGGCUCUUGGCCGGCGCCCGGCCGCAGCGCCGAGGUUUCCGCGUCGGGGCAGGCGGCGCGGGGGCACCAUAGUCCGCUCUCAUGAAAGCCUCGGUGAGAGCCGAGCUGCCACAGAGCCUGUUCACAAAGGGUCACCACACACGGAGCUGCCCCUCCCUGUCUCCCUAAACCCCAGUCUGCGAGGCUAGGGCCUUUUUUUUUUUUUUUUUUACCAGGAUUCUGGGUGUUUCUCCUCCUUUCCUCCCUCCCAGAUCUUCUCACGAAAUACCCCAAUGUUUCUCUCCAAAGAUGGAAGAGGAAGAUUAAAACAAUAAUUUGCAGAAAAGCCCUGCCUUUCCAGAGAUCUAAAGUGUAAUGCAACCGUAUGUGGUUGAGAAGUUCGAAUCUUGGCUGCUUUCGCCCCUCUGCACAAGCAGAAACCCCGGUUUUCGGGGACCGUGAUCUCAUCGUGUCGCUCUCACUUUUGAAGGUCUGUUAAAAGUCUGGGGCCUCUUAUCUC